rnacentral:rRNA from 1 species
ACAUACACAAAAAUUUAUCCAUAUAAAACCACAACUCAUCUAAUCUUGGAAGCUAAGCAGGGUCAGGUCUGGUUAGUACUUGGAUGGGAGACCAUCUACGAAUACCAGGCGCCGUAGGCA